rnacentral:rRNA from 1 species
AGAGUUUGAUCAUGGCUCAGAUUGAACGCUGGCGGCAGGCCUAACACAUGCAAGUCGAGCGGAUGAAAGGAGCUUGCUCCUGGAUUCAGCGGCGGACGGGUGAGUAAUGCCUAGGAAUCUGCCUGGUAGUGGGGGACAACGUUUCGAAAGGAACGCUAAUACCGCAUACGUCCUACGGGAGAAAGCAGGGGACCUUCGGGCCUUGCGCUAUCAGAUGAGCCUAGGUCGGAUUAGCUAGUUGGUGAGGUAAUGGCUCACCAAGGCGACGAUCCGUAACUGGUCUGAGAGGAUGAUCAGUCACACUGGAACUGAGACACGGUCCAGACUCCUACGGGAGGCAGCAGUGGGGAAUAUUGGACAAUGGGCGAAAGCCUGAUCCAGCCAUGCCGCGUGUGUGAAGAAGGUCUUCGGAUUGUAAAGCACUUUAAGUUGGGAGGAAGGGUUGUAGAUUAAUACUCUGCAAUUUUGACGUUACCGACAGAAUAAGCACCGGCUAACUCUGUGCCAGCAGCCGCGGUAAUACAGAGGGUGCAAGCGUUAAUCGGAAUUACUGGGCGUAAAGCGCGCGUAGGUGGUUUGUUAAGUUGAAUGUGAAAUCCCCGGGCUCAACCUGGGAACUGCAUCCAAAACUGGCAAGCUAGAGUAUGGUAGAGGGUGGUGGAAUUUCCUGUGUAGCGGUGAAAUGCGUAGAUAUAGGAAGGAACACCAGUGGCGAAGGCGACCACCUGGACUGAUACUGACACUGAGGUGCGAAAGCGUGGGGAGCAAACAGGAUUAGAUACCCUGGUAGUCCACGCCGUAAACGAUGCUAACUCGUUUUGGGGUUUCGGCUUCAGAGACUAAGCGAAAGUGAUAAGUUAGCCACCUGGGGAGUACGUUCGCAAGAAUGAAACUCAAAGGAAUUGACGGGGGCCCGCACAAGCGGUGGAUUAUGUGGUUUAAUUCGAUGAUACGCGAGGAACCUUACCAAGGCUUAAAUGGGAAUUGACAGGUUUAGAAAUAGACUUUUCUUCGGACAAUUUUCAAGGUGCUGCAUGGUUGUCGUCAGCUCGUGCCGUGAGGUGUUAGGUUAAGUCCUGCAACGAGCGCAACCCCUGUCACUAGUUGCCAUCAUUCAGUUGGGGACUCUAGUGAGACUGCCUACGCAAGUAGAGAGGAAGGUGGGGAUGACGUCAAAUCAUCACGGCCCUUACGCCUUGGGCCACACACGUAAUACAAUGGCCGGUACAGAGGGCAGCUACCUAGCGAUAGGAUGCGAAUCUCGAAAGCCGGUCUCAGUUCGGAUUGGAGUCUGCAACUCGACUCUAUGAAGCUGGAAUCGCUAGUAAUCGCAUAUCAGCCAUGAUGCGGUGAAUACGUUCCCGGGCCUUGUACACACCGCCCGUCAAGCCAUGGAAGUUUGGGGUACCUGAAGUCGGUGACCGUAACAGGAGCUGCCUAGGGUAAAACAAGUAACUAGGGCUAAGUCGUAACAAGGUAACCGUA